GGCCGCAGCUGGAGCGCGGCGGGGCGCGGGCAGCCUGCGCUGCCGGCUAUGUUUGGAAACUUGAACGCCAGAUCGCGCCCUCACCCUCCUCCCCGGCCGCGCUGCCGACCCCCCGCCGCGGCACCGCGGCCAGGGCGCGCAUGCACAGUUGCCGUCGUGGUGGCGGUGUGAUCCCAGUGACAGAAUGACACAGUUUUUGUAAGCCUGUGACUGCAUCAGAAGCUCUUCCACUUUUGAUUUGUUUAAACCAGCCAUGUUUGCCAAGUGUUUAAGGUUGGGCUGGGAAAGAUAGUGCUGUGAAUUGCUCAAGGGUGUAGGAGAGGCCAGGCAGGUGAGUAAUCGCUGUGAUCUCAUCUCGCUAAUGCAAAGGGACAUAGGAUUUCCCCGGCGUUGUGAGAACGCACAGCUUUUUUUUUUUUUUUUUUUUUUUUUUUUUUUUUUUUUUUUUUUUUCUUUUUUCUUUUUUUUUCUUUUUCUAUUUCCCCCUUUAAAUAGCUAGCUAACAUUUGCAUAACACUGUUAACAGGCAAAUUACUCAAAACAACCUCGGUUCAUGCAAAUAAGCCGAGAAUUCAUUUCACUGGCAGGAAAACAAAAUAAAACCCCCUAAGCUUGCCUUCUCCCUCCCGCGAUCCCCGAAGUUGCCCGCUCCCCGCCCGGUCCCGCGGCCACGCCGGUGCCCGUGUUGGCCAGGAGGGGCUCUGCAGAACCCACUUUUGCUCUCGUUGCAGUCGGCGGCUGUUUUUGCAAACAUCGACAUCGCUGCCUGCGUCCAAAGAAUAAUAAAUUGUCACCGGGGGGACGCGGUUCGGCCGGGACCCGGCGCGGUGCGCUGCGGGCGGCCACCGGCAGCGCGUCACUGGCGCUCAGCCGGGUGCACGGUGCCCGCGGAGACAGCGCGCAGCGGGGGAGGGGGUACAUGGGGUGGGGGGAAGCGCUCGCACGCUCGGCGAACGCGGAACCUCUCCCAGCUGGGCUGUGUUGGAUGGAUUUCUUUCUUUCAGUACCUCUUCCUGAUUCCUUUGUUGCCAGAAACGCCGAAACCCCCGUCCACUGCAGGUUUCCCUCUGUGCUUUAAAAUGACUUAGUGUUUCUAUGGCGAGGUGCCCGGCUCCCUUAUACCGGCAGCUAUGGAGCACCGACUCGGAAAGAUACCUUCUAUUCGAUUAAUAACGUUUUGGAACACACACGACAAAAUACCUUCCUUUCAGUAUUUCAUAUCACCAAUACGUGUCAUUUCCAUUUUUAGUUGUCUAAAGCAUUUUAUACGUGUCUGGUUCUAAUCUAGAAAGCUGGCAAAUGAGUUUGAUUAUAUAUAUGUGGAAUUAUUUUAUAGGGAAGGCUUAAUGAAAUGCACACGUUGAAGUUACAGAAAUGGUAGGACCAGAUAAAAUACAGUUAGAAAAUCAAUUGUGACAAAGUGACUCUUUCUUUCAGGGUUAAAAAAGACUACUUACUGCUUCUACUUAGUGUAGAAGCAGUAAGCAGAGAUAGAAAAGUCUUCGAAUUAUGUGAGUCUCCUGUAUGCAAAUUGGCUGAAGAAGAUGCGCUAAAGAGGAGUGGAUUUCACACUUAGAAAUUUCACACCUAAACUGUGGACAUUACAGAAGCUUCACAGAAGCAUGGCAGAUGAAAGCUGGUCAAAGUAAAAGUCUUUGCUUCCAGCCACAGUGAUUUAGUGAUGGCUGCAGGAUUUCUACAUCAAUAUGUCUUUACUUGACUAAACAAGCAUGUGUUCCCUCUGAUUCAUACUGGAAUGUCAUCUCCUUUCCUAUCCUUUUACUGCCCCAUGUUGAUCUUCAUAUGAGGAGCAGAACUGGGCUGUGGUAAAAGGUCAGCCUCAGCUUAAAAAACUCGGGUUGAGAGAGCUGAAGCUUUGCCUUCAUCCCGCAUGUCUGGGAAUGCAGAACUGCAGCAUAUCCUGACUGCAUUUCAGUCCCCGGGUUACACAAAUCCAACACAUGACAAGGCACUCCGUGUGCUUGAACUACCCCUCACCCUGGAUCCUUCCUCCGCCGAAUCCUCCUGCAAGAAAGCCCUUUUUUGGUAAACUCACCUCACAGGAACAGACUUCUUGGCUCACAAAAACAGUCUUUAUAGUGGGUGUAAAUAAUAAUCACCUUAGAUAUAAUCUAGCCUCAGAAAACCAUUUACAGGUGCUGUCAACUCCCUUUAUAGUUUGUGAAUAGAAAAAGAGAGAGAUUAGCAUCUGUGACCCGACCAAACUGCCUUUACUCUUACUUGCAGGAUACACAGUUGCGGAAAUAUGUUUGUCUUUCCGUAAUGAUUAAACUUUGAUUUAAACUUUGGUCAUGGGCACGUACUGUACCAUUACGCAAGCAGCACUUAAGGAUGAAGUGUCAGCAUAGCAACAAUAUGGCCAGCAGCAGCAGUGAUCUCUGCAAAGCUGAUUGAUGAAGAGAACUGCAAUGUAAAUGCAAAUAAAUGCCACGCUGUGGCACCUUCACAGGGAA